GUGGGGUUUAGGAUUUAGGAUUUAGGGUUUAGGGUUUAGAGUUUAGGGUUUAGGGUUUAAAUUUUAGGGUUUAGGGUUUAGGGUUUAGGGUUUAGGGUUUACGGUUUACGGUUUAGGGUUUAAAAUUUAGGGUUUAGGGUUUAGAGUUUAGGGUUUAGAGUUGAGAAAUGAGGUUUUGGGUUUAAGAUUUCAAAUUUUGAAAUAUAAAAAAAUUAAAAUUUUCAAAGGAUAAACUUAUAAAGGUGUUAUUUUGGUCAUUUUAGUUUUUGAG
rnacentral:lncRNA from 1 species